UACGUAGGGUGCAAGCGUUAAUCGGAAUUACUGGGCGUAAAGCGUGCGCAGGCGGUUUUGUAAGUCUGUCGUGAAAUCCCCGGGCUCAACCUGGGAAUUGCGAUGGAGACUGCAAGGCUAGAAUCUGGCAGAGGGGGGUAGAAUUCCACGUGUAGCAGUGAAAUGCGUAGAUAUGUGGAGGAACACCGAUGGCGAAGGCAGCCCCCCUGGGUCAAGACUGACGC
rnacentral:rRNA from 1 species